rnacentral:rRNA from 1 species
AACGAACGCUGGCGGCAGGCCUAACACAUGCAAGUCGAGCGAGCAUUUCGGUGCUAGCGGCGGACGGGUGAGUAACGCGUGGGAACGUGCCCUUAUCUGCGGAAUAGUCCUGGGAAACUGGGGGUAAUACCGCAUACGCCCUUUUGGGGAAAGAUUUAUCGGAGAAGGAUCGGCCCGCGUUGGAUUAGGUAGUUGGUGGGGUAAUGGCCCACCAAGCCGACGAUCCAUAGCUGGUUUGAGAGGAUGAUCAGCCACACUGGGACUGAGACACGGCCCAGACCCCGGGGGGAGGCGGGAGGGGGGAAUUUAAAAGAGGGGGGCAACCCGGGAUCACCCCAGGCGGGGGGAGAGAGGAGGCCUUGGGGGUGAAAAACCUCUUCGAGGGGGGAAGAUAAGGAGGGAACCAGAAAAAGAACCCCCGGCAACCCCCGUC